CUCAUUCUCUCUCUUCACUUCUGAAAUAAAGUUGCUCUGCAACUUCUUCUUCUUCUCCGUUACUCUCCUCACGGCCAAACCUGUCGGAGAAGACGGUGGCGGCCGGCCAACCGCGGCGGCGCCGCCCUCUUCUCCGGCGACUCUUCACCCCAAACCCAAACUUUAAAACACGAAUCCCACUUGUUUUUGGCCGGAGAUUUCAAAUCCGGCCUCAGUUUUUUCAAAAUCCGCUUCAAUCAACCGGAUCGGCGUAACGAACAAGAAGCGUAUGGAUUUAAAGCAAGGAAAGGAAAGAAGAAUGACUACUUGCCCUGAGUUGCGUCCGGCGACGUGAGCUUUCCGUCGCUUGUUUGCAUAAAGUGAAUGGACAUUGAUUGAAAAUUGGUUUGCUUUUGGAUUUGGGGCCCCUGUAAUUAGGGACUGAAAUUGGGCGCUUGGGAAUUUCAAGAAGCUUUUGGAAGAGUCUUUUGAAGAGUUGCUUCAAACUGCUGUAUUUUACAGCUUAUCUCCAACUUUUCAACCUAGUUGUAACAGAACUUUUGGGCAUAUUAUACAUUUUAAUUUUAAAAAAAAAAAAUUAUUGUGAUAAUUAUGUAAAUACUUUGGAUUAUUAUAUAAACUUGGAAUUAAUUGGAACUUUGGA